UUAUUUCUUCUCACUCCUUAUACUACUUGUAAGAUACAUUCUUUAAUAAUAAGCAACAAACUCUACACCUUCCAACUUAGUAGCAUGCAUUAACCUAAAGAUAUUCUCCAUAUCAUUAAUAAACCCCUGAGGAUCCUCCUUAACAUUAGAGACUGUAAAAAUGAGGGAUUCAACCUCAUAAAGUGGCCAACCCGGGUAACAUUAGAUGAAUUGGGGGCAGG
rnacentral:lncRNA from 1 species